CCUACGGGAGGCAGCAGUGAGGAAUAUUGGUCAAUGGGCGUAAGCCUGAACCAGCCAAGUCGCGUGAGGGAUGAAGGUUCUAUGGAUCGUAAACCUCUUUUAUAAGGGAAUAAAGUGUGGGACGUGUCCUGUUUUGUAUGUACCUUAUGAAUAAGGAUCGGCUAACUCCGUGCCAGCAGCCGCGGUAAUACGGAGGAUCCGAGCGUUCUCCGGAUUUAUUGGGUUUAAAGGGUGCGUAGGCGGCCUUUUAAGUCAGCGGUGAAAGUCUGUGGCUCAACCAUAGAAUUGCCGGUGAAAAUGGGAGGCUUGAGUAUGUUUGAGGCAGGCGGAAUGCGUGGUGUAGCGGUGAAAUGCUUAGAUAUCACGCAGAACCCCGAUUGCGAAGGCAGCCUGCCAAGCCAUGACUGACGCUGAUGCACGAAAGCGUGGGGAUCAAACAGGAUUAGAUACCCUGGUAGUC
rnacentral:rRNA from 1 species